CUAAGCCCAUUAGCUAGGGUUGUGGCUCAACCUUAGUGUGGGUAAUUGAUGGGUGUUGCUUUCAAAUGAUAGAUUGCUAUUGGGUAUUUGUUAUUUAGGUUAAUUUUAUUCUUAAACUAAGGAUUAGUGGUUGCAAACAUUGAUUCUAGCUUAGUGGGAUUUGACUCUUCUUGAGAAAGAGAGUCUAUGACCCUCAAAUUGACCCAACAAGGAAUAAGGAUGAACCCAUGAGAAAUGGUAGUCCCAAUUAACGGGUUAAAUCUCGAGAGAGUAAUCACCCUACUUGAAACCUAGUUGCUUGGUCUAAUUGGCCUACAUAAUUGGUCUCUCGAGAGUCAAUCGAGAAAAAUCACUCUCUCUACCGAGAGGUGUGAGAGUGGGUACAAUUGUGUAAUGGUUAUAGCAUAAAUCCCGAAUAUAUCAAUCUAUUCUUAGUAGUUUCUGCCCGUUAGUUAACCACUUAGGUGAUGCAAUGACCCUAGUGCCUUUCUUCCUAUUAGUUACAACCAAACAACAUUUUCUUAGCAUAAUUUAGCCUUCAUCUUUAGUUCAUAAUAGUAGUUGUUAAUACAAAGAAAAUCAAAAAAUGUUAGGAGUGAAAUUAGAAGUACAAACACAAUCUAGGCUAAACAGAUAAUGCAACUCCAUUCCAAGCUCCCUGUGGAAAUUCGACCCCGAACCACUAUUCGGGUAAACGUUGUAGCAACCCACUCUCCCUACAUUUUUGUAGCAUCGAGUUGGUAGCGAUCACUGCCUACAUAUAUCUGGUCAUGAAGGAAUCAUGCCAUAUAUAGUUCGAAAUCUGUCGACGGAGUAUGCCGAUGGAGACUUUCAAGAACGAGCGCAGUAUUUAUGAUGGGGUAAUGGUUGAAGUCUAAUAGGGUUGAGGGAACUGGAGCGAAAUUUCUCCUGCCAAGACGGUCGUUGCUUGCCGGUUUACUUGCAAAAACACAAGCGUAUAUUGUGCGUAAACUUCAACAUGAUGCAAUUUCCGAUCGGACCAUGAAUGUUGUCUUUGAAUGUUUAGGAUGAUAUCCUAGGCCAUGAAGCGUAUGAAAUAGUAUUCGCAUGCCAUGAAAUGAUGUUCUUGGGCUAUGAGAAUGAUGCCUCCAAACUAUGAUGCCUUUGAAUAAUGAUAUGAAAAAGACAAGAGGGGUCUUUAGGCCAUGGAAUGGCGUACUCGGGCUAUAAAAAUGGUGCCUCCAAACAAUGAUGCCUUUAGACAGUUUGGCGAUCUUUCAGCCUAUGAGAUGCAGUAUUUGGAAAUCUUUCAGCCCAUGCGAUGCAGAAGGUAGCAAUCUUUCUGCCGUGCAAAAAUCUGAAUAAUGCGGCGACAUUUCAGCCAUGCAAGUGUAGAUAGGGCAAUUUUUUAGCCAUGCAAGAUGUAGAUAUGGUGGCGAUAUUUCAUCCAAUGCAAAUGUAGAUAAAGUGGCGAUCUUUUAGCCGAUGCAAACGUAGAUAGUGUGGUAAUCUUUCAGCUAUGCAAGUGCAGUAUUUGGAGAUCUUUCAGCCCAUGCAAUGCAGAAGGUGGCAAUAUUUUAGCCGAUGCAAGAUGUAAAAUGAAGGUGGCAAUAUUUCAGCCGAUGCAAGAUGUAAAAUGAAGUGCCGUUAUUUCAGCUAUGCAAGAUGUAAAAUGAAGUGACGAUAUUUUAGCCAUGCAAGUGUAAAAUAAAGUGGCGAUAUUUCAGCCAUGCAGAUGGAGAUAGAGCUUAGUCUAAGAAGGUAGAAUAGUAGCCUUAUGCAAUGCAGAGAAUAUAGAUGGAGAUAGUGCUUAGUCCCGGAAGUUAGAAUGGUAGCCUUAUGAAAUGCAAAAAAUGCAGAUGGAGAUAUAGCUUAGUCUCGAAAGGUAGAAUAGUAGCCUUAUGCAAUGCAGAGAAUGCAGAUGGAGAUAGUGCUUAGUCUCAGAAGGCAGAAUGGUAGCCGUACGCAAUGUAAAUGCAGAUAGAGAUAGACCUUAGUCACAAAAGGUAUAAUGGUAGACUUAUGCAAGAAGUACAAGGGUAAAUGAUAAUGGAAUUUUCUUAGCUGAUAGCGGAUUGAGAUAUUUCCAAUGCUGGAGAUAUUGUGUGUGUUAGGGACACAGCGUGCACAUAGCAGUUGUGAGUAAGUGUGACGGUUUUGAGAGUUCUAUUCAUAUUUGAUGAUUUUUGCAACUCAGAUACAUGCGUCCAAAGAAAAAUCGUGACUUUUUUAAAAGGAAACAGUUACAAGUAGGUGCACAUAAGGGUUUAGGGGAAUGGGAAAUUGAAAAGACUAGGCAAGUUGUGGGCAUACCCAUCAAUGGAGAGUGCUAGUAUACCUAGAAGCCUACUAGAACACACUAUUAGAGGCUAGGAUCCCAAAGGAUCAAGUUUACUUCAUGUGCAAUAAUUUGAAUAUUGUCAUGCCUUAAACCAUAGCUCAAACACAUAAAGGCAGGGGUGUUUGGAUUCGCAAUAGGAACAAACAGAAGGAAAUCAGCAUGCUAAGUUAGGUGUUGAAUGCUGCAGAAACACUCAGUAGAAAUGGAUACAAAAGCAGUAUAUUCACAUUGUUGCGGUGCUAAAGAUUAAAUCCAGAUAUAGAGACAAAUUGAAAAAACAAUAGGUCUUGUAAACAGGCCACAGUGGAGACAAAACAGAGAAUACUAAUAUGUAUAAAUGUGAGUUCAGAAAGACUGUGAAUGAGUGAUAGCUUGUGAAAGAGGCGUGCCUUUAUAGUGGGAAAAUCAGGCAGAAAUAAGGUAAGAAAGCAGUUAAGGAACUGAUUAUCCAUUAAGAAUCAACCACACAUGACUACUUUUAAUUAAAGAAUUCAAAUUCAAACCGGAAAACUAUUUAAGGGGAAGAAGUCAAAUAAACAUCUUGUGCAAAGCAUGCCAUUAGGGGAAAAUACAGAAAAAGUUAUUAAAAGACAGAAUUUUGAAAUACACAGUUGUACGAAUAAGGUAAGAAAAUCAAUUAGUAGCCAGUAAAUCAAGAAUAAGAGAUUUGUAAUUAUUGGUCCAUGAAUGAACCAGGUCAAAAAAGCUGAGAAAGAUUUUAACUUAAGUCAAAUCACAAGGAAAUCAGCAAACAAUGGAAAAAAAUCAAUCAGACCUAUUAUGAACGAAGUCUGAACCAAUAACAAAUUUGAAAGCUAUUUUAGAGAGAAAUUCAUCACAUAUAAAGAGUACGCAAGUGUCAGGCAUUCAAGAAGGGAUCAAGAAAAGGUCUUAAGAGUCUGGAAAAAGUCAGAAACACAUGAAAAAACAAAAUUAAAAUAAUGAUUCUGAAGCUUAAUGAAGCAUUAGAUGAAACAAUUCCAGGAACUCAAAAUAGGUCAAAAAUUAGCGUUUCAAAAUCAGGCAAGUUUCAAAGAUGAAGAGCCACCAAAUUACGUAGUCAGCAUUCUCAAAAGCUCAGCUGAACCCCAAAAUUUAGGGUUCUUGUCAUUAACUGAGUACAGAGACAAAACUGCAAGUGACUAAGGGGAAGAUACCCUACUUGAAAAUAGGUUCAGGGGUCUCAGAAAAGGACUGAGACCCUUAACAUGUCUUUCAGCAGCAGAAAACUCAUGAACAACAUAGUAAAAUAAUAUCAUGUGAAGCACUGUAGAGCAACACAAAGGAACUGAUAAGAAACAUAAAUGAAAAUUAAUAAGAACAAUAUGAGAAGCAAAUUAAGAAGCAUAUCAGCAAAAACAUGACUAGAACACUUAAUGAGAAACACAUGCAAGAACAUAAUAGAGGAAAGUACAGUAAAAGAAAUACACAAAAGAAAGAAAAAGUUAGAGAAACAUUUAAAUAUUCUCAGAAAAAACCCUAGGUCGGAAAAAGGGAACGGUUUUGAUAGAAGUUUUUUGAAAGAUAAGUAAAGAAAGUUGUUUAAAAGCUUAAGUAGAGCAUAGAUCUAGAGCAAAUCUAAACGGAUUCGAAAAACCUCAAAGCUAGGGUGUUCAGAGAAAUCCAAACAGUGAGAAAAGGCUUGGAUCUAAACAGAAGGAGUUGUAGCCGGCUCGAAACAGACACAGCUUGUUGGAGCAGGGCUGGAAAUGGCCGUAAAGCUUGAAUCAAGAGAGAUCUAGACCCAACUCUUCGUGGUCAUGCUACGAGUUUUCAAUUAACCAAACGUGAUGAGCCAUAGGUGGCUUAAUGGACUGUGAAAUCGCCAUAGAUUUAGGUUAGAAGGUGGACGGAGAAGACAAACAAGACUCGUCGGAUAGGAGGGGAGGGGGAAGGUUCUCUAGAGAACCAGAAGUAGAGAGAUAGAGAUAAAUGAGGGUAAUUGAGGGGUAUUGAGGGAGGG
rnacentral:lncRNA from 1 species